UCGAACAAUCGAUUAUUCGACAAUAUAAUUGCUAGAAUUUUAAGUUAAAAUAACACGGGAAAUAAAUUAUUAUGGCACUAACAAGCAGUAAAUCUUGGAAACUAAACUAAUGAUAAAAGGCUUGAAUAUUCUGCAUUUUACACUGUAACACUCAAAAUAAUACCAACCGUCUGUAAUAAUGACUCCGAAAGUGAAGAGGAAUGAAUUGAAGUGGACAACGCAAGGCACUUCCACACAAGCCAGUACAAAACCAACCAGAUAUUCAGACGUCUUUGUUCAACGCGUAAAGCUAUACAUUUGUAGACGCCAAGCAUUGCAAGCUAACAAAAACUCUUGAUAAAAAUGGAUAAUUUUCCAUUCUCACAUGUGAAAGGAAAGGAAAAAUAAAGAGCCAGGAAAGAACAUCAUUAAAGUUGAAAUGGAUAAAAUGUACUUUACUUUACUUAAUUAAAACAAUGGUAAACCGUCAGGCAUGUCAAUGAUAAUCAAUGUAUGGACCGACAUUAAUCUAAACAGCAAGAUUAACAUUACUUCACUUGGCCUAUUAAAAAAUCAGUGCGACAACUGGGGUGUUUAAAAUAAAGGAAGAAGCGCAACUGACUACAUCUCUGAUGUACUAAUGGAGUUGUUAAAAAACUUUUAUAUCGCCAAAAGUCAGAUUACGGCAGUUAUGACAGACAAUGAUGCGAAUAUGGUGAAAGCGAUACCCACAAACAUUGGAAAAUACCGUCAUACUCAAGUUUCGCUCCCACUUUGAAUUUAGUUAGCGCGAUUGCCUUGGAAGUGUAUUCUGUUUAAUUAUCCAAUGCCGUACAAUUUUAGUUUGGUUGAAGUGCAGCGGAAAAGCAAAAGCAGCUGUCUGCUGG